AAUUAAGAAACAAAUUUUUUGUAUUCAAUUUCGGCUUGAAAUUAUGGUUUAUAUUUAACCCUUAAUUG
rnacentral:tRNA from 1 species